rnacentral:tRNA from 1 species
AUCGACGACUCAGCUGCACCAUAAGCACCCACACGAAUUGCUUGAUUCAUUGAAGAAGACGAUUAGAAGCAGCGCCCGAGUUCGGGUCUGUAGCUCAGUUGGUUAGAGCGCACCCCUGAUAAGGGUGAGGUCGGCAGUUCGAAUCUGCCCAGACCCACCAGUUUACUGGUGAGAUAGCUGGUCAGAGAGACGCCUCCACGGUAUGUAGAAAUACGGGGCCAUAGCUCAGCUGGGAGAGCGCCUGCCUUGCACGCAGGAGGUCAGCGGUUCGAUCCCGCUUGGCUCCACCACUUACUGCUUCUGUUUGAAAGCUUAGAAAUGAGCAUUCCACCCCGCAAGACAAGGGGUGCCUGAAUGUUGAUUUCUAGUCUUUGAUUAGAUCGUUCUUUAAAAAUUUGGGUAUGUGAUAGAAAGAAAUAUAGACCGGGCACCUCUUUCACUGGUGUGUGUCCGGGCUAAGGUAAAGUUUGUGAAAUGCAAACUUUCGGCGAAUGUCGUCUUCACAGUAUAACCAGAUUGCUUGGGGUUAUAU